ensembl:lncRNA
CAUAACCAUUUUUAUUUUGUAAUCCUUUUGAUAAGUUGUCUAAUAUCUUAUAGUUAUGUGACAAUUUCAUUUAAAAUAAAAGGCUCAUGCUAAAUUUGCUUAAACAUGGUUUCAAAGGUAACUCCAUUUCAGGAAAUGACAUCAGCACCCCAUUUUUGAAGUUCAUACAAAAGCAGAGUGUAACCUCAGAGACAACCUUUCACCAAUUAUACACAUUUUUCACCAGAUGAAUGAUGUUUUUAUACAUUUCUAUUGUCAUCCUCUUAGAGGUGCCAGGUAAGUGACAUUUAUAAUAAUAAUACUAAUCAACAACAACAAAAAAACACAUUAUUUAAAUGUACUCAAGUUUGCUUUGUUUAAUUAAAGCAGUUGUGCUGGGAGUGGAUUUGGAUCAAGGUCCAAAGGUUGUGGUUAAAGGAGUGGGCAAAACAAUAUAUCUGCAAUGCAAAGCGGAUGGUCUGAGUGAUACAGACUAUAUCCACUGGUACCAAGUUAAAGACAAAGAAGCCCCAACGAGGCUACUCUACAUCAGUAAAGGAGGUAGUGUUGCUCGUGAUACCAGCGCUGAUGCAGCUGACUUCACAGUGGACAAAACAAAGCUUUAUGAUCUAAAACUGAGUAAUACUCAGCCGAAACAUUCUGCUGUUUAUUUCUGCGCCUACUGGGACACAAGCAGCGGCAACUGGAUCAAAAGAUUUGGACCUGGAACACGGCUGAUUGUAACUGGUAGGAAACAGUGUCAGAAUUUCUUCAAAUGCAUAAAAUAUUAUAAUUUUUAUGUAAAAACUUUGCCAGUCGUCCUUUUUUUGUUUGUUUGUUUGUUCACUGAUGACUGAAACUAUGUUCAACGUGUUUCUCUAGGAAAUACUGAGUCGCCAAAAGUGUCUGGAUACCUACCGUCAAAGAAAUCCAGUGACAAAGAUGACAUUCACACAAUGUUAUGCCACGCAAGAGACAUGAUUCCUGACUUGGUGAAAUUCACAUGGCAAAAAAAGAGCGGAACAAAAGAUUGGGAGGAUGUGAAUGAAAAUGUUGUUGAACAGAGUUACAAAGUUAAAGUAAAUAAUAAAGAUCAAGUUAAAGCAGUGUCAAGUAUGAUGAUUAUAGAUAAAAACACGGCCGAAAACAACGACUACCAAUGCAUUGUUACCCAUGAGGGAGUCAAUGAGAAACCCCAAACUCUUUUAAUGAAGAAAGGUAAUUUGAAGAAACUUUGAUUUCCUACAAAUUUCAUGGAAAUAAAUUUGAACACAACUGAUACGGUUCUAGACACAGAGAGCUUUGAUUAUAAAUAAUUAUUCAUUAUAAUAAACGGAAACCUCAUUAAAACUAUAAUAUAAAGCAAAUAAUUAAUUAGAAUUAAAACUAUCUUUUAUUUGAAUGAAACAUUACAGUGUAAACAUAUGGAUGAAACUGUAAAAUUGUAUGACAUUCAGAAAUACAUGUGUGUGUGGUGUCUGUGCAUGAAUUUUUUUAUUGUAAUGUUUUUUUUUUGUUUUGUUAUAUUUUAGAUGAAAUUAAGCCGCCAAUGGUUCCUACGAAGAAAAAUUGUCCAGCCACUGAUGAGACCAUAAAAAAUCAAAUAUCAGGUGAAUAAAUAAAAUAAAUAUAUAUAAAUAUCUAUAUGAAUUUGGAUAAAUAUAGAUACAUUUGGAUGGAUCUUUUAAAACUAUUUUUGUAUUUCAAAAUCUUGUUUUCAAGCCAAAUUUUUUACAUAAAAAAAAAAAAAAUAUAUAUAUAUAUAUACACAUAUAUAUAUAUAUAUAUAUAUAUAUAUAUAUAUAUAUAUAUACAUACAUAUACAUAUAUAUAUAUAUAUAUAUAUACAUAUAUAUAUAUAUACAUAUACAUAUACAUAUAUAUAUAUACAUAUAUAUAUAUAUAUAUAUAUAUAUAUAUAUAUAUAUAUAUAUAUAUAUAUAUACAUAUAUAUAUAUAUUUGUCUGUAUCAGUUAAAAUCAGAGUGUGUACAUUUUUCUUUUUAUGCUUCGUAAAUUAAUUUAACUUAAUGUUAUGAUUAUUAUGGAGUCACCGAACUAUUUUGACCGAACUGAUCCUAAUUUGUCUUAAUACUUUUAUUCACUCUGUACUUUAGUGGACCAAAAACAAAAGAAAAAAAAUUUACAUUGUCAAAAAAUUCCUGCUGAAACAUUUAAUACACAUAUAUUAUUAAAACAUGAUUUAAGCAGAAAUGUUAUGCAUGGUAUUUAUAUAUAGUAAGAAUAAAGUUAUUAACAUAUAAAUGUUUUUCAUUAAAAGCAUUUAACAUUUUUUUUUUUUUUUUUGCUUUAUUACAGGAGAUUCGGAGCAAAUACGCAGUCUGUACGUGUUUGUCUAUGCAUAUGGUGUCAUGAUCAUGAAGAACGUACUGUAUUUUUUUGUUGUGACUAUCUUUCUAUUAAAGAGAAAAGCUGCAAGAAAGAAAGAUGAAACCUCUUAGAGAUUUAAUGCUAAUAUAAGAUAAAUAUCAAUUAAGCAAAGGUUAUUAGCAAGUUUCGCUGACUAAAGAAUAGAUACAUAUCUGCAGCUAUAUUAUCUCUGCUUAACUGUAUUGCUUUUACAUUUGUAGUAGGUUUUCUUUGCAUAGUUUAGUUUUGCAUAUUUGAAAUGUAUCAUUUAGAUUAUUAAAAAUGUGUAAUGUACCCAAAUUUUUAAAAUGUGUUUUGCAUUCCCUUUGUUUUUUUUGUUUGUUUUUUGUUUGUUUUUUUUGCAUUCUCAGAAUAAAAUCUGCUCCUAAAAUAAAUUAAAUGUUAUUCUUAGAUGUGUAGUAAAAGGAAUUCU